rnacentral:lncRNA from 13 species
GUGAUAUUUUGUUGCAUGCAUAGAAUGGCUAAUGAUUAGGUCAGGGUAUACCUCUAGUAUUUAUCACUUUUAUAAGUUUAGAACAUUUUCAAGUCCUCUCUUCUACCUAUUUUAAAAUAUAUAAUACUUUGUUAUUAACUAUAGAUACUCUGCUCUGCUAUUAAACUUAUUUCUUCUAUCUGUUUGUUUAGACCCAUUAAUCAACCUCUCUGUUUCUCUCAUCAACAUGGCUCACCCUUCCCAGCCUCUGAUAUCUCUCAUUCUACUCUCUACCUCUAUGAGAUCAACUUUUUAGUUCCCACGUGUGAGGUCCUAAUCAGGAUAUCACAUUGUAUUUACUAA